rnacentral:rRNA from 1 species
AACGAACGCUGGCGGCAUGCCUAACACAUGCAAGUCGAACGAGACCUUCGGGUCUAGUGGCGCACGGGUGCGUAACGCGUGGGAAUCUACCCUUGGGUUCGGAAUAACAGUUAGAAAUGACUGCUAAUACCGGAUGAUGACGUAAGUCCAAAGAUUUAUCGCCCAAGGAUGAGCCCGCGUAAGAUUAGCUUGUUGGUGGGGUAAUGGCCUACCAAGGCGACGAUCUUUAGCUGGUCUGAGAGGAUGAUCAGCCACACUGGGACUGAGACACGGCCCAGACUCCUACGGGAGGCAGCAGUGGGGAAUAUUGGACAAUGGGCGAAAGCCUGAUCCAGCAAUGCCGCGUGAGUGAUGAAGGCCUUAGGGUUGUAAAGCUCUUUCAGGUGGGAAGAUAAUGACUGUACCACCAGAAGAAGCCCCGGCUAACUCCGUGCCAGCCGCCGCCGUAA